rnacentral:rRNA from 1 species
UUGUGCGAAGGUAGCAUAAUCAUUAGUCUUUUAAUUGAAGGCUUGUAUGAAUGGUUGGACAAAAAGUAAGCUGUCUCAAUUAUAAUAAUUGAACUUAACUUUUAAGUGAAAAGGCUUAAAUAAAUUAAGGGGACGAUAAGACCCUAUAAAGCUUGACAAUAAUUUAAUUAUACUAUCAAUUGUUAGUGUAACUUGGUUUUAGUUAAAAUUUGUUGCGUUGGGGCGACGAGAAUAUAAUAGGUAACUGUUCUUAAAUAUUUAAUAACAAAUAUAAUUGAAAAUUAGUGUGAUCCUCUAUUAGCGAUUAAAAGAUUAAGUUACUUUAGGGAUAACAGCGUAAUCUUCUUUGAGAGUCCACUUCUAC